rnacentral:rRNA from 1 species
CCUUCCGUAAGGGUGAACCUGCGGAAGGAUCAUUA